CCUACGGGCGGCAGCAGUGAGGAAUAUUGGUCAAUGGCCGGAAGGCGGAACCAGCCAAGUAGCGUGAGGGAAGACUGCCCUAUGGGUUGUAAACCUCUUUUAUGCGGGGAUAAAGGUGGCCACGUGUGGAUGUUUGCAGGUACCGCAUGAAUAAGGACCGGCUAAUUCCGUGCCAGCAGCCGCGGUAAUACGGAAGGUCCGGGCGUUAUCCGGAUUUAGUGGGUUUAAAGGGAGCGUAGGCCGGUCUUUAAGCGUGCCGUGAAAUUUUGUGGCUCAACCCUGAGAGUGCGGCGCGAACUGGAGACCUUGAGUGCGCGACAGGCAGGCGGAAUUCGUUGUGUAGCCGUU
rnacentral:rRNA from 1 species